UACGUAGGGUGCGAGCGUUAAUCGGAAUUACUGGGCGUAAAGCGUGCGCAGGCGGUUUUGUAAGCCAGAUGUGAAAGCCCCGGGCUUAACCUGGGAAUGGCAUUUGGGACUGCAAGGCUUGAGUGCGGCAGAGGAGACUGGAAUUCCUGGUGUAGCAGUGAAAUGCGCAGAUAUCAGGAGGAAUACCGAUGGCGAAGGCAGGUCUCUGGGCUGACACUGACGCUCAUGCACGAAAGCGUGGGGAGCAAACAGG
rnacentral:rRNA from 1 species